UUCAGGUGUUUUGGUUGUUCACGCCGCCAAAAACCAAAGCUUCCUGGCCGGUUCCGACGUGUGCUGCGAAGUAUUUGUGCACACCUCUGUCUAUUUUCCUGUAGGAAAAAUGAGGAUGACAGGAUUCAGGAAGACGGCCCCAUAUUUGAUCCACGGAGCCCAACCUAUAUGCAAGACGUUAUCAAUCAUAUACCAAAAGCCUAUAAGGAUGGGAAUUACCUAUUUAUAGGUAUAAUAUUGACUAUCUACCAUAGGUUUGUGACCACCUGGGAGAUGCUGGACUUAAUUAUGGACACGUAUGGACCUUUGCAGCCAGACUGUAUGGAGGAUCAGGAAAAAAGGAAGUGAGUUGGCUUGGGUGACGAGGGAGGUAAGAGCCCCUCUACACAGUGGGAUGUCUGGGGUGGCUAGGGUUGAGGACUGAGCUGUUACCAGUCACCCUGCUCUUGGGAUUCCCACUAGAGGGAUGGUACCAGAGACUUCACGUGCAGGUGGAGAAAAACAGAAAUAAAUCUCCAUUGAUCUCCUUGGUCCUGAGGAGCACAGGGAUUGACGGAAGCUAAAGGGCCCUAGGGGAAACCAUCCCCACUACAGCCCAGCCCAGUCUGCCCAGUCCCUCCUCCAAGGGACAGAAAGUGUCUCGAGCCCUGUCCAUACAGCUCUACACUCCUGACCACCAUGCCCAGCAGCACAUGGGCUGGGCAGCCUUUUCCUCAUCUAAGGGACACUGCUGUGCUGGUGAAGUGAGGCCAGGCUUCUGACUCUACUUCCCUCCAACCUGGUCCUCCCUGCAGUGCCUUGUUAUCCUUCCUAUCGAUAUGGACGUC